UCCAUUAGUACUGGAUACCGGUUGGCCCUGGCAACAAGGCUGUGGUCCUUCACCCUGAACCUCUGGUCAUUCUUUGUAGCUUGAAGAAGAGCCCUGGGACUGUCAAAAGUGUAAACAACACCCUGAUCAAGAAUUUUGAGGUGGAGAGAGGACUGGAAAUAUGAAUCUCAGUGUUGUAAGCACAGUUUGUGAUACUGGAAGGAUCUCCUGGCCUGAGGACUCAAGGCAAGUUGCCGCUGGCCGACCAAGCCACCACCAGUCUGCUGAUAUCUUGCUGUGCUACUCCUGUCCCCACUCAGGCAGGUCUACUAGUCCCCAGUGGACCAAGCAACCAUGAGUCUGCUGACAUCGCUGUGCUUGUCCCUCUCCCACCCACUGGGAAAGGGGGUGCCCCAGACCUGCCUGCACCCACUGUGAGACUCACCAGAGUAUUGAACCUGCUGGCACCCACCUGAAGAGACCUUUGGAUACGUACCCACCAGGAGGAGAAGAGACUCCACCUGCACCCACUGGAAGAAAGAAUGGGAAAUCAACAAUAUAUAGUCACACAAGAGAAUUAGCAGCACAACUGAAAGUUCCAGAA